rnacentral:rRNA from 1 species
GACGAACGCUGGCGGCGUGCUUAACACAUGCAAGUCGAACGAAGAGCGAUGGAAGCUUGCUUCUAUCAAUCUUAGUGGCGAACGGGUGAGUAACGCGUAAUCAACCUGCCCUUCAGAGGGGGACAACAGUUGGAAACGACUGCUAAUACCGCAUACGAUCUAAUCUCGGCAUCGAGGAUAGAUGAAAGGUGGCCUCUACAUGUAAGCUAUCACUGAAGGAGGGGAUUGCGUCUGAUUAGCUAGUUGGAGGGGUAACGGCCCACCAAGGCGAUGAUCAGUAGCCGGUCUGAGAGGAUGGGCGGCCACAUUGGGACUGUGACACGGCCCAGACUCCUACGGGAGGCAGCAGUGGGGAAUCUUCCGCAAUGGACGAAAGUCUGACGGAGCAACGCCGCGUGAGUGAUGACGGCCUUCGGGUUGUAAAGCUCUGUUAAUCGGGACGAAAGGCCUUCUUGCGAAUAGUGAGAAGGAUUGACGGUACCGGAAUAGAAAGCCACGGCUAACUACGUG